UCCGUAGGGUGCGAGCGUUAAUCGGAAUUACUGGGCGUAAAGUGUGCGCAGGCGGCAGAGCAAGUCGAGUGUGAAAGCCCCGGGCUUAACUUGGGAAUUGCGCUCGAAACUACUUUGCUGGAGUGUGGCAGAGGAAGGUGGAAUUCCACGUGUAGCGGUGAAAUGCGUAGAGAUGUGGAGGAACACCAAUGGCGAAGGCAGCCUGCUGGGCCAACACUGACGCUCAUGCACGAAAGCGUGGGGAGCAAACAGG
rnacentral:rRNA from 1 species